rnacentral:lncRNA from 1 species
CACAAGACACCAUUGCAAACAGACCAUGUUUCUAUUCUUCUGCCAGGUCAGAGUCAGAGUACUAAGAGGUGUCUUGUAUACUCUGUAAGUAAAUAAUUUUGCAUUCUCCAUAUGUUGUUAAAUUUUUAUUUUCAUUGACAUUAGCUUCCUCUACUUCUGAGUGAUGUUUUGUCCUUUGGAUUUCUAAUCUAAAACAUUGAAAUUAAAUGUGGAAAUCUACUUUAUGUGUAGAGAGUUAGAGCUAUGAAGCAUUGUCACAAACAUUAAACACCAGAUACGACACUAAGACACUGACACAUGUACUAAUUUAAGAAUAUGAAAGUAGUUGAAUGUUAGACACCAGACAUGUCAUUGAUAUGAUGAUGUGUCGGUGUUACGCUAUUUGUUUGAUUUUGUGCUGAGUGCAUUGAGAAAGUUCUCAGUUCCACUUUUCCUUGUUUGAAGAAUUCUCUAUAUUAAGGGGGGCGUGUAAAAUAAAGAAAAUGUACACACCAAAACCAAAAUGCAUUUCCACACUCUAUAAUGGUCAGGUUUCAGUGCAUCAAACCCAAAAGAGGGAAAAAUGUUUAUUACAUAAUGUAUGCACACCCAAAAAAUCAAAUAAGAAUUCAAGUUGAUACUGCUUAUUCUUGAACUCUUUUUUCUUUCUAUAUUCAAAGUUAAUAGGAUAGGCACAAAAUUUAUGCACACAUGCACAACCAACACGCACAACCAGGAUGCUAAUGAUUCAACAGACAUCCAUAUUCAAAGUUAAUAGGAUAAGCACAAAAUUUAUGCACACACACAAUCAGGAUGCUAAUGAUUCCACAGACAGAAGACUUUGUACAAAAAAAAGAAAAAGAAAAAUGGCAAACCAUAGGACGACACGCUAAGCACACCAAUACUUUGUGCAAGUAUCAAGAAAUUUAAUUAUGAGUGAAAGGGGUGAUGCUAAAAGAAUGUAUCAUAACAUUCUACGGGAAGCGUGUGCCUUUCAAAACUUAAGGCAGAGAUUGCAAUCAUUCUCAAAACAGGAAAACUUUGAUGAUGUUAUUGGCAAGAGACUCUCUUCAUGAAUUCCAAUUAAUCAAGACAGCUCUUGACACCUCCUUUAAAAUCAAGGAUCUAGGAACUUUGAAGUACUUCCUUGGUCUAGAGGUAGCUCAUUCUACGCUUGGAAUUUCCCUACACCUUAAAAAAUUAAGAAAAACUCUGAAAGCCGAAAUGCCAAGGAUGGAACAAAGAAUUCAGAAACGGGAACUUCAUAUGAAUAUUUGUAUGUCAGACGAAUCAUGGAUUAUACUGAAGCAGUCUUACUUCACCACACCUCCUUUAAGAUUAAGAAAAACUCUGAAACCCGAAUUGCCAAGGAUGGAGCAAAGGAUUCAGAAAGCAGAAUGUCAUAUGAAUAUUUGUAUGUCAGAUGAAUCAUGGAUUAUAUUGAAGGGCUCUUACGCACGGUGGCGGUUUGUAUGGGUUGACAUUGGUACUGAUAGAUGGAGACUCCACUCCCAGUGUUUUCCUUAGGAAGCUCUUUUCCUGAAAGUGUUAAAAAAUGGUUAGUAUACUGUCAAACUUUGAUAUAUCCCAGUGCCUAACAAACAAAAUACAGUUUUUUAUUGCAAAACACACUAAAAACAAAGGUGUGAAUAACUCUAAUGCAC